rnacentral:misc_RNA from 1 species
GUUCCGUCAAAAUGUAUUAAUGCCCAGCGUGAAGGAGGAUACUGCUGAAGCCAUGUUGCUGCAUCUGAAGAAACCUCCUCAAUUUCAGCCAUUUUCUCUUUAAACCCCCUGGUGGACGUGGAAUACGCAGCUUUCCACAGGAGUUGCACAAGCCUUGAGUUCUUGAAAUCUCUACUGAUGCUUUCACUCAGAUACUGCAUACAUAUAGCAUGACAACAAGAGAGAAACUGCCUUUUCACAGCAU